rnacentral:misc_RNA from 1 species
UUCUCUAUCAUGCCAAACCACACUUGAG